GUGCUCGCUUCAGCUGCACAUAUACUACAAUUGGAAUGAUAUAGAGAAGAUUAGCACGGCCCCUGUGCAAGGAUGGCACGCAAAUUCGUGAAGUGUUCUGUAUUAAA
ensembl:snRNA U6 U6 spliceosomal RNA